rnacentral:rRNA from 1 species
CCUACGGGUGGCAGCAGUGAGGAAUAUUGGUCAAUGGACGAGAGUCUGAACCAGCCAAGUAGCGUGAAGGAUGACUGCCCUAUGGGUUGUAAACUUCUUUUAUAUGGGAAUAAAAUGUUCCACGUGUGGGAUUUUGUAUGUACCAUAUGAAUAAGGAUCGGCUAACUCCGUGCCAGCAGCCGCGGUAAUACGGAGGAUCCGAGCGUUAUCCGGAUUUAUUGGGUUUAACGGGAGCGUAGGUGGAUUGUUAAGUCAGUUGUGAAAGUUUGCGGCUCAACCGUAAAAUUGCAGUUGAAACUGGCAGUCUUGAGUACAGUAGAGGUGGGCGGAAGUCGUGGUGUAGCGGUGAAAUGCUGAGAUAUCACGAAGAAAUCCGAUUGCGAAGGCAGUUCACUGGACUGCAACUGACACUGAGGCUCGAAAGUGUGGGUAUCAAACAGGAUUAGAUACCCCUGUAGUC